AAUACAUGCAAGUCGAGCGAACAGACGAGGAGCUUGUUCCUCUGACGUUAGCGGCGGACGGGUGAGUAACACGUGGAUAACCUACCUAUAAGACUGGGAUAACUUCGGGAAACCGGAGCUAAUACCGGAUAACAUGUUGAACCGCAUGGUUCAACAGUGAAAGACGGUCUUGCUGUCGCUUAUAGAUGGAUCCGCGCCGCAUUAGCUAGUUGGUAAGGUAACGGCUUACCAAGGCAACGAUGCGUAGCCGACCUGAGAGGGUGAUCGGCCACACUGGAACUGAGACACGGUCCAGACUCCUACGGGAGGCAGCAGUAGGGAAUCUUCCGCAAUGGGCGAAAGCCUGACGGAGCAACGCCGCGUGAGUGAAGAAGGUCUUCGGAUCGUAAAACUCUGUUAUUAGGGAAGAACAAAUGUGUAAGUAACUAUGCACGUCUUGACGGUACCUAAUCAGAAAGCCACGGCUAACUACGUGCCAGCAGCCGCGGUAAUACGUAGGUGGCAAGCGUUAUCCGGAAUUAUUGGGCGUAAAGCGCGCGUAGGCGGUUUUUUAAGUCUGAUGUGAAAGCCCACGGCUCAACCGUGGAGGGUCAUUGGAAACUGGAAAACUUGAGUGCAGAAGAGGAAAGUGGAAUUCCAUGUGUAGCGGUGAAAUGCGCAGAGAUAUGGAGGAACACCAGUGGCGAAGGCGACUUUCUGGUCUGUAACUGACGCUGAUGUGCGAAAGCGUGGGGAUCAAACAGGAUUAGAUACCCUGGUAGUCCACGCCGUAAACGAUGAGUGCUAAGUGUUAGGGGGUUUCCGCCCCUUAGUGCUGCAGCUAACGCAUUAAGCACUCCGC
rnacentral:rRNA from 1 species